rnacentral:lncRNA from 1 species
AUGAGGAUUUGCACGAGGAUUUGCGCGAGGACUUGCGCCGAGACAGCGAUCGGGAUCCGCAGCCGCCUUGGCACCGGGGUUUGCACGGUGACGCGCACGGGGAUUUGCACAAGGAGCUGCGACCGGGCAGGCACCGGCCUUUGCACGAGGUCUUGCACCAAGACGGCGAUGAGGAAUCGCAAUCACCUCGGCACCAGGGUUUGCACGGGGACGCGCGCCAGGACUUGCGACCAGACAGGUACCAGGGCUCGCACGAGGGUUUGCACGAGGAUUUGCACCAAGGAAGGCAGCGGGAGUUGCAGCCGGCGUGGCAGCAGGGUUUGCGUGGGGACUUGCACGAGGGUUUGCACAAGGAUUUGCACCAGCAUUUGCGACCAGACAAGCACCGGGGUUUGCACGAGGGUUUGCACGAAGGUUUGCACCCAGACAGCGCUCAGGAUUCGCGACCGCCUUGGCACCAGGGUUUGCACGGGGACUCGCAGGGGGACUCGCACGAGGACUUGCAGGGGGACUCCCACGAAGAUUCGCACGAGGAUUUGCACGACGAUUCGCCCGGCUCCCUGCUGGCACCCGCCACGUACGGUGACUCCCCCCCUGACCUUGCCCACCCUUAUAGGGACGAGGACCCUGACACCUAUGGGGACCCCUAUAUGGACCUGGCGGACCCCGACACGCAGCCCUGGGACCCCGACACCUAUGGGGGCCCCUAUACGGGCCCGGUCCCGCCCUAUAGGGGUGAGGACCCCAACACGGGGCUGUGGGACCCUGAAACGGAGCCCUGGGACCCUGACAUUUAUGGGGACCCCUAUAUGGACCCCUAUGGGGAUGAGGACCCUGAAAGGGGGCUCUGGGACCCCUAUACGUCCCCCUCGGACCCCUAUGGAGAUGAGGACCCUGAGCCUGGGAGCCUCCGUAGGGGCGGGGACCCCCAAACCAUGCCCUGGGACUCCUAUGGGGACCGUGCUAUGGACGCCUAUAGGGUCCGAGACCCCUAUAGGGAUGGGGACCCCCAGCCUGAGCCCAGGGACCCCUACAGAGCCCCAGAUCCCGAGACUGAGCCCUGGGACCCCCAUAGGACCUGGGACCCCCAGCCUGACCCCAGGGACCCCUAUAGAUUUAGGGACCCCCAGCCUGACCCCAGAGACCCCCAUAGGACCUGGGACCCCCAGCCUGAGCCCAGGGACCCCUAUAGAUUUGGGGACCCCCAGAUUGACCCCAGGGACCCCCAUAGAGUUGGAGACCCCCAAACUCAUCCCAAGGUCCCCCAUAGAGCUCCAAACCCCUAUACUGUACUGGGGGACCCCUAUAGCACCUGGGACCCCCAAACUAACACCAGGGACCCCCAUAGCACCCAGGACCCCCAACCUGACCCCAGGGACCCCUAUAGAGCCAGCCCCCCCCCCAAGGCCCUAUAGGGACCCCCAAACGGCCCCCUCCAUCUCCCAGGACUCCCCCAGUGCCCCCCCCCAGGGCUGGAGACCCCCCAACUGC